AACUUGAUCUCAAAUCAGAU
rnacentral:rRNA from 1 species